rnacentral:rRNA from 1 species
GCCUACGGGACGCAGCAGUGGGGAAUAUUGCACAAUGGGGGAAACCCUGAUGCAGCAACGCCGCGUGAGUGAAGAAGUAUUUCGGUAUGUAAAGCUCUAUCAGCAGGGAAGAAGAUGACGGUACCUGAGUAAGAAGCCCCGGCUAACUACGUGCCAGCAGCCGCGGUAAUACGUAGGGGGCAAGCGUUAUCCGGAUUUACUGGGUGUAAAGGGAGCGUAGACGGCUGCGCAAGUCUGAAGUGAAAGCCCGGGGCUCAACCCGGGCCGGCCGUUGAAACUGGGGAUCUUGAGUGGGCGAGAAGUAU